AGUGGAAAGGAAAACAAACAAGGGAAACGAAGAGGGUUAAACGCAGAUUUUGCUAAGCAACGCAGGUAAAGGUAAGAACAAAGCAGAACAGUAAGCAGGGGAGCUGGCUUCGUUGACCGCUGUACAUAUGGUUGGACCAAAGAAGCUGCACACGGAUUAUUUUGGUUUUGUAAACAUAUAUAUUUUGGAGUUAAACUCAUAAACCUUGGAUGAUUGUAUAAUUUUAAUUGUGGCUAGGAAACUUGAUGGGAAUGGUGUAUUAACGAAAUUUUGUUUAAGCAAAAAAAAAAAAAU